rnacentral:rRNA from 1 species
UAAAGAAUUUCGGUAUGGGAUGGGGAUGCGUUCCAUUAGUUAGUUGGCGGGGUAACGGCCCACCAAGACAACGAUGGAUAGGGGUUCUGAGAGGAAGGUCCCCCACAUUGGAACUGAGACACGGUCCAAACUCCUACGGGAGGCAGCAGUGAGGAAUAUUGGUCAAUGGACGAGAGUCUGAACCAGCCAAGUAGCGUGAAGGAUGACUGCCCUAUGGGUUGUAAACUUCUUUUAUAUGGGAAUAAAAUGUUCCACGUGUGGGAUUUUGUAUGUACCAUAUGAAUAAGGAUCGGCUAACUCCGUGCCAGCAGCCGCGGUAAUACGGAGGAUCCGAGCGUUAUCCGGAUUUAUUGGGUUUAAAGGGAGCGUAGGUGGAUUGUUAAGUCAGUUGUGAAAGUUUGCGGCUCAACCGUAAAAUUGCAGUUGAAACUGGCAGUCUUGAGUACAGUAGAGGUGGGCGGAAUUCGUGGUGUAGCGGUGAAAUGCUUAGAUAUCACGAAGAACUCCGAUUGCGAAGGCAGCUCACUGGACUGCAACUGACACUGAGGCUCGAAAGUGUGGGUAUCAAACAGGAUUAGAUACCCUGGUAGUCCACACAGUAAACGAUGAAUACUCGCUGUUUGCGAUAUACAGUAAGCGGCCA